AAGACUAUACUUUCAGGGAUCAUUUCUCUAGUUUGUUACUAGAGAAGUUUCUCUGAUCAUGUGGAGCACCCGAAACCACGAGGAGGUGCAGUGUUCUCUCCUGAGCAUGAAGCCAGCUUUUGGUGUUGUUUUUGCAACUGCCAAUAGCCCCUGAUGAUCGUUCUUCUCUUCCUUUGGAGGAGUAAGAGGAAGAGAAUACAGUCUGAGUGGU